rnacentral:hammerhead_ribozyme from 1 species
AUCCAUCUGACGAAUCCUAAAUAAAACGAAACGCGCGCCCUGGAU